GGCCUUUAGCUCUGUGGUUGAGCAGGCGACUCAUAAUCGCUUGGUCGCUGGUUCAAACCAGCAGGGCCACCA
rnacentral:tRNA from 1 species